UUUGUGGAUUUAAAAUAAAGAAAUACUAAUCUAAGUAUUAGCCAUCAUGUGAUUAUUAUCAAGCAAUUUCAUGUAGCUCCACCUCUUGAGCACAAAAAAUGAUAACUUUCAUCACUAUUCUUAAUAUCUUAUAUUCAAAUAGUUUCCAUAUAGAGUUGUGUUAAUCUCAUGCAAUGGCUCUACAAGAUAAAUAUGAGUACAUAA